rnacentral:misc_RNA from 1 species
GCAAAAAGCAAAUACCAGUACCAGAGCUUGGGAGAGCGAGAAUAGACGUCAUGGGUAGUAAUUUGAAGAACGCUGUGAUUGCUUUUCUGGUGCCACUUCCUUCUAUUGUCUUCUACCUUUCCCUCCUUAACCAUUAUCAUACCAGCCUUAAUGAUGGCUCUGUUCUUUCUCCUUUGUGGGCAUGGUGCGUUUACCACCCUCUUCUAUUGGCCAACAUUCUCUUCUUCUUCAACGUCAAUGUCCUCUUCUGGCUCAUCAGUCACAUCCAAUCUAGUCACUGGAUGAUAGAUCUGUACUGGACUGUGAUACCGAUAUUGCUUGUUUACUACUAUGCAACUCACCCUUUUGCCCAGUAUAACUGGCAGAGGUCAAGAAUUGUGAUAACAUUAACAUGGGUGUGGAGUUUGAGGCUUACCCAUAACUACUUUAGGCGGGAAAAGUGGCAGUGGGGUGCUAGAGAGGACUGGAGGUUCACUGAUAUGCGUGGCCAGUAUGGCAAGCACUGGUGGUGGAUUUCCUUUUUCUCUGUCUAUUUCUCGCAGCAGGUUUUUCUGAUCGGAGUAUGUCUGCCAUUUUAUAUUGUUCACUCGGUUGAUAAGCCAUUGAAUGUAUAUGAUUUUGUUGCCGUUGCCGUCUGCUUAUAUGGUGUUGCGAUAGCAUACUUCGCUGAUACACAACUCCAUGAAUUUGUGACAAGAAAUAACAAAUUUAAAGAGCUUGGAAAGCCAAUGGUGCCCAACCUUGAUAGGGGCUUGUGGUGUUACUCACGGCAUCCUAACUACUUUGGAGAGCAGUUGUGGUGGUGGGGACUGGUUAUAUUUGCGUGGAACCUGGGAAAUGGGUGGACCUUUGUCGGGGCUUUCAUUAAUAGUUCGUGCUUAGCAUAUGUUACUGUGCUUGUAGAGCAGCGGAUGCUGAAACAACAGUACAGAGCUGAAGCAUACAGGCUGUAUCAGAAGACAACUUCAGUGUGGAUCCCCUGGUUCAAAUCAUCUGCCUUUGCCAACGAAGUGGUGUACAGUAGCCAUCCUACAACCUGGAUUUAUUGGCUUUAACAUUGGAGGCUUUUCUGGCACUGCGAGAGCAAGGGAAUGAUGAAUGCGGCUAACUUCUAAAUACUAGUCUGUCAAUCUGCUCUGCAUAUUUUAGUAAAGUUUAUUUAAAAAGCUGGCUUAAUUGGGUUGUUGUCUUUGCACCUGAAAUGAGCUGCUGGGGAGAAACUGAUGGUUUUGUUUUCAUUCUCUUUCACGGAUCCCAGCCACUGAUGCUUGCAGGCUUCACAUGAAUGUGAUAUUGGAAACUAAAAGGAGGAAAGGGGAUCAGGUAAUACAAUAUUUGAAAUGAAAAGCACAUCAUGGUCAUGGUCCGCUUACAAAGCUAAGCUAACUUAGUUGAAGUAAAAAAUUAUCAAAAUUUGGAUAUUGAUGUUGGGUUAACUGUUCAAGCCCCAAUUUGGGUAAUUUUUAAAUGCCUGAAAUUAUCACAUCCGUGACUAAGUAUCAAGAACAAAAAGGACUUUGCCAGUGAAUUUAUUGUCUUUAGUUGUUGACAUUUUGUC